GCGAGAGUGGCGGAAUUGGCAGACGCGCCGGCCUUAGGAGCCGGUGUCUUCGGACGUGGGGGUUCGAAUCCCCCCUCUCGCACCA
rnacentral:tRNA from 1 species